rnacentral:rRNA from 1 species
CGGGGACUGAGAGGUUAACCCCCCACACUGGUACUGAGACACGGACCAGACUCCUACGGGAGGCAGCAGUGAGGAAUAUUGGUCAAUGGACGCAAGUCUGAACCAGCCAUGCCGCGUGCAGGAAGACGGCUCUAUGAGUUGUAAACUGCUUUUGUACGAGGGUAAACUCACCUACGUGUAGGUGACUGAAAGUAUCGUACGAAUAAGGAUCGGCUAACUCCGUGCCAGCAGCCGCGGUAAUACGGAGGAUUCAAGCGUUAUCCGGAUUUAUUGGGUUUAAAGGGUGCGUAGGCGGUUUGAUAAGUUAGAGGUGAAAUCCCGGGGCUUAACUCCGGAACUGCCUCUAAUACUGUUAGACUAGAGAGUAGUCGCGGUAGGCGGAAUGUAUGGUGUAGGGGUGAAAUGCUUAGAGAUCAUACAGAACACCGAUUGCGAAGGCAGCUUACCAAACUAUAUCUGACGUUGAGGCACGAAAGCGUGGGGAGCAAACAGGAUUAGAUACCCUGGUAGUCCACGCAGUAAACGAUGAUAACUCGUUGUCGGCGAUACACAGUCGGUGACUAAGCGAAAGCGAUAAGUUAUCCACCUGGGG